ensembl:lncRNA
GUGAAAGCACAAUCUGUGCGUUGCUUCUUUCCUGUGCCCAGGCUGAUGUGACAGUGCCAUCUGCUGAGGUCCAGAAGCACAGCUGGCAGCAGCAGUACGAAAGAAGCCUGUGCUUUCUGAUGCUUGGCUCUUGCAGCUAACAGGCAACAAGAGGAGAGUCGAUGUGCCUCGUUGUGCUUUCAGUCCAGCUAAUGUUUAGUUGGGUUGUGUGGGCUGAGAUUUCCAGGCAGCCUAACCAGUGGGGGACCCACACAAGCUGCAGCAAAGGGCGGCAUGGCCAGUGUCACCAGGAGCCCAAAGGCCUGGGGGCAUCCCAAGGGCCUGAGCUGCUGCGCUGAUCAAAGGCAUGAUUCCAUGCUUUUGAAGCCUGUGCUGAACUUUUCACUGUUUCUUUGGAGGUGGAUUUUAGGACAAAGUUCAGCUGAGGGCUCAAACUGAGACGAUGAGGUAAUUCAGAGGCACAUCCACAUUUCAGGGUUUUAUCCAAGCCAAACGUGAGCCCCUAAUUCUUUUCCAGUUCUCCUAUAACAGAGGGGUAGGGGGGAAAGAGACCGUGAACUGCAUCAACAAUUAAACAUACAGGGUAUGGGGUGGUGGUGGAGGGUGGGGGGGAAGAACAGCUCUUUCUGCAGGCACUUCUGGUAGCUCUUGCAGAUCUCACACAGGCACAUUUGCUAUGCAAGCUCAGUGUCAAAAGUAGUGAAAAAUAAUCAUGGCAGUAUAGGCUUAUGGAAUUUCUCAGACAAAUGGUCCAGUCAGCUAUCCCAGGACACUGCCUGCUUUGUAACAAAGACAGAUGAUACGUGAACGUUCCACACAUCAGAUUGGUACACAGAAAUGAAUAUAUUCGGUUUCCAUUUGCUGACACGGUGCUAUAGAAGUAAUCUCAAAUAGGGAUAAAAAGGCUGUGUUUUUAGAGUUAAAAAGCAGUUGUUCCAAAUGCAGCUUUUCUAUAUUACAGACAGCGACCUGUCUAGAAUGAAAACGUGGGGGUUGAAAAAGUAAAUAGAUACAGUGUAAGUUACCCGUAUUUCCUGUCAUCUUGCACCUAGAGGUGACAGCAAUUAGCAAAGUGCAGCUGGGUUCAGUAGGGAAAGCUCUCCGCAGUGAGAACAAGCUCUGAGACUGAUGCGGGCUCUGAAAGAGAUGAAGGACUUCAAUGAAUUCCACAGGAAAUCACUAAUUAUGAGAGUCACAAACAUUUCAAAACAGAGCAGUUGUGUCAGUUGGCACAGCCGGGGCUGGUGCUGCUGUAAUGCUGCGCUGCGUGAGCACACAGACCCCGUUGGGCACAUGCACAGCUGUAUGUGCUUCUCUAUAUAUAGCUGCUGACAUGCAGAGCUGCUUUCAGACGUGUUUUGCUCGGAGAUCUUUACAAAAUGAACGUUUUUGGACGCUUCAGGAGCGUUUGUUUAGCAGAAAGCACCGCUGCGUGAAUACUUUGAGCUGUUUGCUCUGCUUUGAUGGACGCUUUCCCAUGUUCUACCAUAAAUCGAUUUCACCUAAUCCAUCUUCUGCUCUCAUUUAUGAAAAAGCAGAUAUUGCGGCUUAGGGCAGCAAAUUGAAUGGCUCCAGCCCCAUCGGAUGAUACAAAGCUGAGCUUCUCGGCAAAGAAGUAUAAUCUCUGCGCAGCGGCUGCGCUAAUUCCUAACGUCCAUCUGGUAGUGUCCAUAAAUGGCCGUUGUGGGGCCGUUACUCAGAUUGCGAGAAGCUUUGAACGCUGUGCAGUAUGACUCCUUGCUGUGCUACGCAUAGGAACUCACGUUGGUGGGGGUGAGCUGUUUGUAGUGCUGGUGCGUGGGAGUCCCACUUCAGGAGGAAAAGGGAAAUGAAGAUUGCUCAGUUAUCUGGUGCAGAACUUUGGCAAGAACAUCCUCUAUUCAUGGAAUAGCCUCCAUUAAAAAGUCCCAGGGUGUUUUUCAGCAUUUGAAACCAGUUAAAAGCAGAAUCGGCGCUUAGCUGCCACAGUUUGGGUUAAAAGUAGUUCCAGAUUUCAGCAAGAGGCUUCAGGCUAAUUGUUUAUCAAGUGAACUCUCUCCAGCGGGAACGCAGGCUUCGUUACACGCCGUAUCAGCUGCACCGCGUAAUGGUUUGAUGCAAAAUAGGGUGAAGUAAGCAGAAAGCCUCUGCUGAGCUGCAGCGGGUCUUGGGUCAGGCCCCAGGAGCAUCAGAUGAAGGAAAUGAAAAACGUUCGUUACAGACAGCACAAGUGACAAAGCACUAAUCUGCUUCUCCAUCUCCUGCAGGCCGAGCAGAGAGCUAGAGUUCUGUCAGGGUCUGUCAGCAGCUUCCCUGCCACGCGUGCAUCAUUUUAACUUUGGCUAAUGAUGAUGCUAGUGGAUAUUGCAUUAAGAGCUGUACAUAGCGAUGCAACGAAAGUGAGAAGGGAGACGAUGGGCUGUCUCUAGCAGGGAGCUUUGGGGCUGAAGUGCAGCUUUGAUUUGUAACCAGCUUCACACGCUGUUUUCUCCAGACACACGUGCUUGCGAUGCAGAAGCAGCACUACUAACACUGACCAGGAAUACAGGAUUUGGUUGAAGGAUUUGGACGGCUGAGGCACGGCAGCGGGCCCGGCCGCCCGCUGAG